rnacentral:lncRNA from 1 species
CCAAUGUUGAUUUGGUUAACCGGUUAACACCUUAAAAAAUGGGAAAAAUUCCAAUUUCCAUUAAUUCUCUCAGUAACUUCUUUCCUUAAUUAACUCCUCUUUUAUUUUGCUUUCCAUAUACCAUUUUUGCAUGAUUUUUCCACAACAAUCAACAUGAUAUCAACACAUAGCACGGAUAGGGAGUAUGAACACAACAAGUUUAUCACAAAUUCACACAAACCCUAACCCCACAAAUAUAGAUUAUUUUCCCCCAAAGGCUAAAACUAUCUAAGAACUCACCUAGUAGAAGAAGAAGAUGAAGUUGUUGAUGAUGAAGAUGAGAUGAUGGUGGUGAUGAACAUGAUUUCC